CCUACGGGUGGCAGCAGUGGGGGAUAUUGCACAAUGGGGGGAACCCUGAUGCAGCGACGCCGCGUGGGUGAAGAAGCGCCUCGGCGCGUAAAGCUCUGUCAUCAGGGAAGAAAAUGACGGUACCUGACGAAGAAGCUCCGGCUAACUACGUGCCAGCAGCCGAGGUAAUACGGAGGGGGCAAGCGUUAGGCGGAUUUACUGGGUGGAAAGGGGGCGCAGACGGCGCUGCAAGCCAGGAGGGAAAGCCCGGGGCCCAACCCCGGGACUGCUCUUGAAACUGCGUGGCUGGAGUGCAGGAGGGGAAGGCGGAAUUCCUGGUGUAGCGGUGAAAUGCGUAGAGAUAAGGAGGAACACCAGUGGCGAAGGCGACCUGCUGGACUGCAACUGACGUUGAGGCGCGAAAGCGUGGGGAGCAAACAGGAUUAGAUACCCGUGUAGUC
rnacentral:rRNA from 1 species